AAGAACACCCUUGCAAACCUGAUCAAAUCUCCCAUGCGGUCCUGACGUCGCUGGUGGACGGAGGGACUAACAUCCAGGAGGGACAAACUCGACACAUCUGCUGGCUGGUUUGGGUCCACAGUGUGACCUCUGAGUCACUGAGAGAAAAUCGUUCUGGAAAGUCGUGAGCAUCAAGGCGCCUGGGUGCACCUGAGGGCAGGGUGCUCGUCUGCGGGAGGGAGAUGUUCUGGAAGCUGUGGCCGCUGGGAUCGGCCAGGCGCCUCCUCUUCUGCUUCUCAUCCCCUGAUGGAAGACGGUUCUGGCCGGGGGAUGCGGCUCCAAGGCCUCCUCCUGCGUCUCUAGGAGCCCCGGGGUCAGGCGUGACGGGAGUGACUCAAGCACCAUUUCCCAUGGUCAGAAGGGGCCACAGGUGGUGUCCUGGCCCCUCCCCAUCCUGAGGGGCGCCCGUCUGAGGCCGAGCAUGGGCACAAAGUGGGGUCAGGUGCGCAGGACACAACUGAGGGAGGUGAGACAACAGGG